rnacentral:rRNA from 1 species
UGGGGAAUCUUCCGCAAUGGGCGAAAGCCUGACGGAGCAAUACCGCGUGAGGGAUGAAUGCCUGUGGGUUGUAAACCUCUUUUCUUAAAGAAGAAGCUCUGACGGUAUUUAAGGAAUAAGCAUCGGCUAACUCCGUGCCAGCAGCCGCGGUAAUACGGGGGAUGCAAGCGUUAUCCGGAAUUAUUGGGCGUAAAGCGUCUGUAGGUUGUUUGAAAAGUCCGGUGUCAAAGACCAGAGCUUAACUCUGGACCGGCAUUAGAAACUCUCAAACUAGAGCACGGUAGAGGUAUGGGGAACUCCUUGUGUAGCGGUGAAAUGCGUAGAUAUAAGGAAGAACACCGGUUGCGAAA